CCAACAGGGAUUGCCUCAGUAACGGCGAGUGAAGCGGCAACAGCUCAAAUUUGAAAUCNGGCCUCGCGGUCCGAGUUGUAAUUUGCAGAGGGUGUCUCGGGCGCGAUCCCGGUCUAAGUUCCUUGGAACAGGANGUCGCAGAGGGUGAGAAUCCCGUACGUGACCGGCGGUCAACCCCGUGUGAGGCCCCUUCGACGAGUCGAGUUGUUUGGGAAUGCAGCUCUAAAUGGGUGGUAAAUUUCAUCUAAAGCUAAAUAUGGGCCAGAGACCGAUAGCGCACAAGUAGAGUGAUCGAAAGAUGAAAAGCACUUUGGAAAGAGAGUUAAACAGUACGUGAAAUUGUUGAAAGGGAAGCGCUUGCGACCAGACUUGCCCGCGGGCGAUCAACCCUCCUUCGGGGCGGUGCACUCGCCCGCGAUCAGGCCAGUAUCGGUUCCCGCAGCCGGACAAAGACCCCGGGAACGUGGCCCCUCUCGGGGGGUGUUAUAGCCCGGGGUGCAACACGGUUCGGGGGGACCGAGGACCGCGCUUCGGCUAGGAUACUGGCGUAAUGGUCGUCANCGACCCGUCNUGAAACACGGACCANGGAGUCUACCAUUUANGCGAGUGUUUGGGUGUCAAACCCAUGCGCGCAAUGAAAGUGAACGGAGGUGGGAACCCCCCGGGGGGCACCAUCGACCGAUCCUGAUGUCUU
rnacentral:rRNA from 1 species